rnacentral:rRNA from 1 species
CCAGACUCCUACGGGAGGCAGCAGUGGGGGAUAUUGCACAAUGGGGGAAACCCUGAUGCAGCGACGCCGCGUGGGUGAAGAAGCGCCUCGGCGCGUAAAGCCCUGUCAGCAGGGAAGAAAAUGACGGUACCUGAAGAAGAAGCCCCGGCUAACUACGUGCCAGCAGCCGCGGUAAUACGUAGGGGGCAAGCGUUAUCCGGAUUUACUGGGUGUAAAGGGGGCGCAGACGGCGAUGCAAGCCAGGAGUGAAAGCCCGCGGCUCAACCGCGGAACUGCUUUGGAAACUUUUCGGCUAGAGUACCGGAGAGGUAAGCGGAAUUCCUAGUGUAGCGGUGAAAUGCGUAGAUAUUAGGAGGAACACCAGUGGCGAAGGCGGCUUGCUGGACGGUAACUGACGUUGAGGCUCGAAAGCGUGGGGAGCAAACAGGAUUAGAUACCCGCGUAAA